GGCGAACGCUGGCGGCGUGCUUAACACAUGCAAGUCGAACGGAAAGGCCCUGCUUUUGUGGGGUGCUCGAGUAGCGAACGGGUGAGUAACACGUGAGUAACCUGCCCUUGACUUUGGGAUAACUUCAGGAAACUGGGGCUAAUACCGGAUAGGUGCUCCUGCUGCAUGGUGGGGGUUGGAAAGUUUCGGCGGUUGGGGAUGGGCUCGCGGCUUAUCAGCUUGUUGGUGGGGUAGUGGCUUACCAAGGCUUUGACGGGUAGCCGGCCUGAGAGGGUGACCGGCCACAUUGGGACUGAGAUACGGCCCAGACUCCUACGGGAGGCAGCAGUGGGGAAUAUUGCACAAUGGGCGGAAGCCUGAUGCAGCAACGCCGCGUGCGGGAUGACGGCCUUCGGGUUGUAAACCGCUUUCGCCUGUGACGAAGCGUGAGUGACGGUAAUGGGUAAAGAAGCACCGGCUAACUACGUG
rnacentral:rRNA from 1 species